GCCCGUCGGGGAGGCGCUAGCCCCUCUCGUGGAGGGUCCCGACCCGGACGCCGUGGCGGACGGCGGCGGGGAGUCGCGGCGUGAGGGUGGUUGGGGCCACUGGGUCCGGGGCCAGCUCUCCCGCGCCCCCUCUGUCUCCUCCGGCGCCGGAGGUGGAGGCGCCUCCUCCUCCUCCUCCUACCACCGCCGCUCCGACCUCCGCCUCCUCCUGGGCGUUAUGGGCGCCCCGCUCGCCCCUGUUCACGUCAGCUCCGCCGACCCCCUCCCCCACC
rnacentral:lncRNA from 1 species